rnacentral:lncRNA from 1 species
GGACUUAAUCCCAAUCCAAAUCCUGAGUUAGCCCUCUUAAGACCUCUCAAACUAAGCCUUAAGACCUCUAGGAUCAAAUCUAACCUAAGCCCCAAACAGAAAAUCUAUCUUCACGGCAGCUUGUGCUUGAGUCGACUCAAAUUGAUACUGAGCUGACUCAUCUGGGAUUGAGUUGACUCAGACUAGCAUUGAGUCGACUCACCUGCAUGCUAUCCAU